UAAGACGAAGGUGGCUAGCGUUAUUCGGUAUUACUGGGCUUAAAGCGUGUGUAGGCGGAAAAGUAAGCGUUCUGUGAAAGCCCCCGGCUUAACCGGGGAACUGCGCAACGAACUGCUUUUCUUGAGGCAAGUAGGGGUGCAUGGAACUCUUGGUGGAGCGGUGGAAUGCGUAGAUAUCAAGAGGAACGCCGGUGGAGAAAUCGGUGCACUGGGCUUGUCCUGACGCUGAGACACGAAAGCGUGGGGAGCAAACGGGAUUAGAUGCCCCGGUAGUCCACGCCGUAAACGAUGCCUACUAGGUUGUGGAGGUUCUGACACCUGCACGGCCGAAGCAAAAGUGUUAAGUAGGCCGCCUGGGGAGUACGGUCGCAAGGCUA
rnacentral:rRNA from 1 species